GUGCCAGCAGCCGCGGUAAUACGUAGGGUGCAAUCGGGUAUCGGAAUUACUGGGCGUAAGCGUGCGCAGGCGGUUCGGAAAGAAAGAUGUGAAAUCCCCGAGCUUAACUUUGGAACUGCAUUCUUAACUACCGGGCUAGAGUGCUGUAGAGGGAGGUGGAAUUCCGCGUGUAGCAGUGAAAUGCGUAGAUAUGCGGAGGAACACCGAUGGCGAAGGCAGCCUCCUGGGAUAACACUGACGCUCAUGCACGAAAGCGUGGGGAGCAAACAGGAUUAGAUACCCUGGUAGUCCACGCCCUAAACGAUGUCAACUAGCUGUUGGGGCCUUCGGGCCCUUGGUAGCGCAGCUAACGCGUGAAGUUGACCGCCUGGGGAGUACGGUCGCAAGAUUAAAACUCAAAGGAAUUGACGG
rnacentral:rRNA from 1 species